GAUGAACGCUGGCGGCGUGCCUAAUACAUGCAAGUCGAGCGAACGGACGAGAAGCUUGCUUCUCUGAUGUUAGCGGCGGACGGGUGAGUAACACGUGGAUAACCUACCUAUAAGACUGGGAUAACUUCGGGAAACCGGAGCUAAUACCGGAUGAUAUUUUGAACCGCAUGGUUCAAAAGUGAAAGACGGUCUUGCUGUCACUUAUAGAUGGAUCCGCGCUGCAUUAGCUAGUUGGUAAGGUAACGGCUUACCAAGGCAACGAUGCAUAGCCGACCUGAGAGGGUGAUCGGCCACACUGGAACUGAGACACGGUCCAGACUCCUACGGGAGGCAGCAGUAGGGAAUCUUCCGCAAUGGGCGAAAGCCUGACGGAGCAACGCCGCGUGAGUGAUGAAGGUCUUCGGAUCGUAAAACUCUGCUAUUAGGGAAGAACAUAUGUGUAAGUAACUGUGCGCAUCUUGACGGUACCUAAUCAGAAAGCCACGGCUAACUACGUG
rnacentral:rRNA from 1 species